rfam:Conidiobolus coronatus NRRL 28638 unplaced genomic scaffold CONCOscaffold_157, whole genome shotgun sequence.
GCUACUAUGGCCGAGUGGUCUAAGGCGGGUGACUUAAGAUCCCCUCUCGAAAGAGGCGUAGGUUCGAACCCUACUGGUAGCA